UCUUAUGAAUGAGCAAAGAAAGUGGUUUCUUGAGAUAGAAUGCACUGCUGAUGAAGAUGCUGUGAA
rnacentral:pre_miRNA from 1 species